UACGGGGGGGGCAAGCGUUGUUCGGAAUUACUGGGCGUAAAGGGCUCGUAGGCGGCCAACUAAGUCAGACGUGAAAUCCCUCGGCUUAACCGGGGAACUGCAUCUGAUGCUGGAUGGCUUGAGUUCGGGAGAGGGAUGCGGAAUUCCAGGUGUAGCGGUGAAAUGCGUAGAUAUCUGGAGGAACACCGGUGGCGAAGGCGGCAUCCUGGACCGACACUGACGCUGAGGAGCGAAAGCCAGGGGAGCAAACGGG
rnacentral:rRNA from 1 species